GUUGGGGGGGUAACGGCCCACCAAGACUACGAUGGAUAGGGGUUCUGAGAGGAAGGUCCCCCACAUUGGAACUGAGACACGGUCCAAACUCCUACGGGAGGCAGCAGUGAGGAAUAUUGGUCAAUGGACGCGAGUCUGAACCAGCCAAGUAGCGUGAAGGAUGACUGCCCUAUGGGUUGUAAACUUCUUUUAUAUGGGAAUAAAGUUGUCCACGUGUGGAUUUUUGUAUGUACCAUAUGAAUAAGGAUCGGCUAACUCCGUGCCAGCAGCCGCGGUAAUACGGAGGAUCCGAGCGUUAUCCGGAUUUAUUGGGUUUAAAGGGAGCGUAGGCGGAUUGUUAAGUCAGUUGUGAAAGUUUGCGGCUCAACCGUAAAAUUGCAGUUGAUACUGGCAGUCUUGAGUGCAGUAGAGGUGGGCGGAAUUCGUGGUGUAGCGGUGAAAUGCUUAGAUAUCACGAAGAACUCCGAUUGCGAAGGCAGCUCACUGGAGUGUAACUGACGCUGAUGCUCGAAAGUGUGGGUAUCAAA
rnacentral:rRNA from 1 species